ACUAUAGUCAUGAGCGCCAAACUUUAAAUGCUGCUCAAUCAACAGGUAUCUAAGGUGUCGUAUGGAUGAAGUUGAGAGGCUUGGGUCAGUCAAAGUGUUGGAUUUUAUCUUUUGUUCACAUUCUAUUUUGUAUUAGCAGGUCUCCUCAUUUCGCCUAAAAGCACUAUGCUUUGAGAAAAGAAUAAAUAUGCAAUAUCUAUAGCUUUCCACCAAUAAUUUCUUAGUGUAAUUUGUAUUAAUGCUUUGUUUUUCUCUUUGCUUCUUAAACUAUUGGAUACUCAUCUAAUAAGAACUCAAGAAAAUGUCAAUAAGCUUUGAUUUUAUCUAUGUUACCCGAA